rnacentral:misc_RNA from 1 species
AAAAAAUGUUUUUCAAGGCCAACAAAUGCAUGCUACUAUGGGUGCAGCCCCACAUCCACCAGCAAUGCGCCCUAGGGUACGUGCAAGACGAGGACAGGCGACUGAUCCACAUAGCAUUGCAGAGCGGUUACGAAGAGAAAGGAUUGCAGAGAGAAUUAGGGCUUUGCAGGAGCUUGUUCCGAGUGUCAAUAAGACGGAUAGAGCUGCAAUGCUCGAUGAAAUAGUGGACUACGUAAAGUUCCUACGUCUCCAAGUGAAGGUUCUGAGCAUGAGUAGAUUGGGUGGAGCUGGUGCUGUGGCACCACUUGUAACGGAUAUUCCACUAUCAUCAGUUGAGGAAGAAGGAAGUGAAGGUGGUAGGAACCAACCGGCAUGGGAGAAGUGGUCGAACGAUGGUACAGAGAGACAAGUUGCUAAACUCAUGGAAGAAAAUGUGGGAGCCGCAAUGCAAUUCCUUCAAUCAAAGGCACUCUGCAUCAUGCCCAUCUCGUUGGCUUCAGCGAUUUAUCACACGCAACCACCUGAUAGCUCGAGCGUUGUGAAGCCAGAGAGUAACCCUCCUCCAUAGAAUCACCUCGCAGUGUCA